AGGAGGCGGGACUCGAAACCUCCUCCCGCCAAUUGGAAAAGAUGACAGGCGGGGCCGUCGCCCUCCAAUAGGAUUUAGCGAGAAGAAAAACAUCUAGGAGAGAGAACGGAUAAUUAAUGAAAGAUCCCAGAAGAGGUGAUAGAGGAAAUGAACAGGAAUGGAGCAUAACAGUACAGAUGGAAAGAAUCAAAGAAUGUCAGCUGUGGAAAAGACCUUUGCAGGCUUAUAGACCAACUCACACAUUUCACAUAUGAGGAAAUGGAAGCCCAGAAAGUUUCUGUAAGCUAAAAAAGAAUAAGUCAUGUUUUCCUUAUUGUAUGUUUCAAUUAAAUAUUUGUUUAUUUCUCUGUUUCCUCAGUCAGCUUAAAAUACUCCUGCAAUAGUAAACUCCCACUGCUAAUGUAACUUGACCUUUCACUGAUUUCAAACUGAGAGAAAGGGGAAAACAGUAAAUUGCAUAAAUUAAAGCAUUAUAUUAAUUAAAGAUUAUUAGAUGGGUAAAGAGACUUGCUCAGUGUAAACUGUUGUGCCCUGUGGUUAUAUUAACUCUAGAAUUUUCAAGGGGAUAUGAUUGAAAGGUCCAAAAUUGGAUCUGGCGAUUGGAUAUAUCUGCAAAACAUGAACAAUGUUAACAAGGAUUUCUUUUCCCUGGUGUCUUCUCAAGAUUGUUUCCAUGGUGAUCCACAUUGUUUUGUCUAAAUUAUUCCUCAUGCAGUUUUUCCUCCCUCAUCUAGAUAUUUGCAAAGCAGCUAUCACGAGAGUAUCUCUUCUCUGUACAAGUCCCCUGGAGAGGAAAAAGGAUACCUAUUCAGUAGGGAUGUGUGGGAUGCUGGAAGGUGAGGGUGGAGGGACUACAAGAGGUGUUUGAUUUUCAUUGUUUUUGUGAGGUCAGAGAACCUCAUACAAGUAUCACUUUUGUUCCCAGGGAUAACUUUGUGUAAUGGGCUGAGGCUUGAGUUGAUGCACUGAGGUCCCAAGUACAUGAGGCUAA